CAAUAGCGUAUAUUAAAGUUGUUGCGGUUAAAAAGCUCGUAGUUGGAUUUCUGCUGAGAACGACCGGUCCGCCCUUUGGGUGUGUAUCUGGCUCUUUCUUGGCAUCUUCUUGGUGAACGUUGCUGCACUUGACUGUGUGGAGCGCUACCCAGGACUUUUACUUUGAGGAAAUUAGAGUGUUUCAAGCAGGCAUACGCCUUGAAUACAUUAGCAUGGAAUAAUAAGAUAGGACCUCGGUUCUAUUUUGUUGGUUUCUAGAGCUGAGGUAAUGAUUAAUAGGGAUAGUUGGGGGCAUUCGUAUUUAACUGUCAGAGGUGAAAUUCUUGGAUUUGUUAAAGACGGACUACCGCGAAAGCAUUUGCCAAGGAUGUUUUCAUUG
rnacentral:rRNA from 1 species